GCCCCGCCCGGGGCCCGCAGGUCCCGCCUCGCCCCGCGGCACGCCGGGAAGAGCAGUGCAGCCGGCGCCGGGGCGGGCACGCGUCGCGGCGAUGCGGAAUCGGCCGGGCUCUUUCGUGGACCUUAGGCUGAAGCAGCGCGUGAAGCAGUACCUUGCAAGCAGCAAGUGUGGCCACUAUGUGGACAUCGGGAUCCUGGCCUCCGAUUUGCAGAAAACCUACAGUACUGAAUAUGGACGAAGAAAACGGAAUGCUUUUAGAAUACAAGUUGCAAAAGUGUUUGGAAUAAUCAGCAAUGAAAAAAAAAACGAAGAUUUAACAGCAUUAGAAGCUGAACAUUUGGCAAAAAGAGCAAGGCAUGGACACAAGAGAAAUGAGACUACAGGAAGUUCCACGGAGGACUCUGAGGAUGAUGAUUAUCCAGAAGAUUUAUCUACAAAUCAUAUGAACAGUUCCCUGAUGACCUUAUACAAGAAAGGAAAUCCUGAUUCUGUUCCAGCCACUCCAAAAAAUGAACCAAUGGAAACCUGCACUCCUGUGCAAACAGCACCUCAAACAAGCACCCUUUCACCAGCAUCUCAAGUUGAAACACGCAUCUCUAAAGGUGGCUGGUUCAUUGAUAAGACUCCAUGCGGGAAAGAUUUCUUCAUUGACCUUUCCGAGGAUGGAGAAGGAGAUGAGAAGAAACUGAUUUCUGAGAAUUCAGCCGAACUUUCAGUCUUGGAAAGUGGAAAAAAGAAGACAAGGGGUAAAAGAGGAAAAAGGAAAAAAGAAUUUCCUGAUGUUGAUGAAGAAAUUGAAUCCAUCUUACUUAAAGGGAAAGUUAAAAGCAAGGGACCAGAGCUUUACCACCCAUCGGUGAAGUUUGAGGAUGUAGGAGGCAACGAUGUAACUUUGAAGGAAAUAUGCAAGAUGCUGAUUCAUGUUCGUCAUCCUGAAGUCUAUCUCCACUUAGGUGUGGUCCCACCUCGUGGUUUUCUUCUACAUGGACCACCAGGAUGUGGAAAGACACUGCUUGCACAGGCAAUUGCUGGGGAACUUGAGCUCCCUAUGCUGAAAGUGGCAGCAACAGAGAUGGUAUCUGGAGUGUCGGGAGAAUCUGAGCAGAAACUGAGAGAAUUAUUUGAUCAGGCCGUGUUCAGUGCACCGUGUGUCCUUUUCAUUGAUGAGAUAGAUGCAAUUACCCCAAAAAGAGAAGUUGCUUCAAAGGACAUGGAGCGGAGAAUUGUUGCCCAGCUCCUAACUUGUUUGGAUGACUUGAAUAACGUGGCUGCCACUGCCCAGGUCCUUGUUAUUGGAGCAACUAACAGACCUGACUCACUGGACCCUGCACUGAGGCGAGCUGGGAGAUUCGAUCGAGAAAUUUGUUUAGGGAUACCAGAUGAAGCAGCAAGAGAAAAAAUUCUUCAGACAUUGUGUCGAAAACUUAAGCUCCCGGAGUCCUUUGACUUUCAUCAUUUAGCACAUCUGACUCCAGGUUACGUAGGUGCUGAUCUGAUGGCACUUUGUCGUGAGGCAGCUAUGUGCACAGUGAACAGGGUCCUGAUAAAAUCUGAGAAGCAGCAAAGGAAAUACAUACAGGCUGGAGGAAACACAGUUGAAGGAAGCAUGGGAAUAGAAACAGAGAUCCCGGUGGAAGAGAACUCCAAACAGCUUCCUUCUAAGGAAGAAUUACAGAGACUUUUAGAUUUGCUGAAGAAGCAAGACCCCUUGCCUGAGGAGCAGCUGCAGAAGCUCUACAUUGAGAUGAAUGAUUUCAUUGUCGCACUGUCAUCAGUGCAACCCUCUGCCAAGAGAGAGGGCUUUGUCACAAUUCCUGAUGUGACAUGGGCAGAUAUUGGAGCCCUGGAGGAUGUUCGGGAGGAGCUGACCAUGGCAAUAUUGGCACCUGUGCGGAACCCAGAGCAGUUUAAAGCUCUGGGCCUGACUACUCCAGCUGGUGUUCUGCUUGCAGGGCCUCCUGGGUGUGGCAAAACGCUAUUGGCUAAGGCUGUGGCAAAUGAAUCUGGGCUGAACUUCAUAUCUGUGAAAGGUCCUGAACUGCUAAAUAUGUAUGUUGGUGAAAGCGAACGUGCUGUACGUCAAGUAUUCCAGCGUGCCAGGAAUUCAGCCCCUUGUGUUAUAUUUUUUGAUGAAGUUGAUGCUUUGUGCCCUCGGAGGUCCGACCGUGAAUCAGGAGCCAGUGUUCGAGUAGUUAACCAGUUACUCACUGAGAUGGAUGGUCUGGAGAAUCGUCAGCAGGUCUUCAUUAUGGCCGCCACAAACAGGCCAGGUGACAGUAUAGCUUGAGCAAAACUGUACAUCUUUCAAAAGGGGAGAAAGAUGAUACUGUAAUAGGACCAGGCGGCUGGAAUCUUGAUGGAGUUAAGCAAAUGUUUUUAUUUUCUCUUGCAAAGAAAAAGGCACAGCUGUGCUUCCAUGCUACUGGUUAUGUUUUUUCUUUUUCCUGUUUGCUUGCUUUUAAACAUCUAUACAGUGAGCAUCGGCAAUUUAACUUUUCCCAUUUCCCGCAUUAAUAUGCAUGAAUGCAUGUAGUUUGUCUAUUAGCUACACUUUGUCAAGAGCAUCUAAUUCUAUGGGUGUUAAUAGCUUCAUUUGAAAUCCUUGAUUGUUUUUAACUUAACAAUUAAGUGUAACUUUCAACCUUUACUUUUGGACACAUUUUUUGCUAUAGCUGCCCAUCUGUAGACCUUACAGACUUAGUUGGUUAUAUUAAAAAUACAAUUUUCUGUGUCUUUGGUGAGUGCUUCUGUGACUUUAGUAUUCCCAUUACUGUAGUAUGUAGGAUAUGGAUUUUUAGAAUCCCAUAGAAGUAGAGCAAGUAAUACCUUCAUCAUUUUUGUAGGUUGGAAAUCGGGCAUCAAGAAGCUGAGUCAUUUAGAAGCAUUAUCCAAGCAUUUCUGCUGAAAUAUGGACAGGAAUGACAGGAAUUCAGGUCUUUCCCAGAUUAUAUGCUGUUUGUGUCUCUUGUUAGACCAGCAGUGCUUAGUAUUUCUCUCCUGAUCUACUGUUUGCAGAGGUUCUGUAGCAAAACCUGUGGUGCUAAAAGGCUGCUAUAGAUUUCUAUUACGUUUAAGUUUUAAAUUGUUUUUCUAAAACAUUUGUGGUGACUUUUGGUUUCUUCUUCAGACAUGAUAAAAUCUGUAGUACUUCCUAGGAAACAAAUUCUGUACUUUGGAGGUCUCUUUUGUGUUUUCAUGGGUAUCUUAUAUUAUCAUCCAUAAAAUUACUGAAAUUAAUGUGUAGUAGAAAAUCAAACAAAAAGUAAAAUUAAGUUUACACGUGAGUAAAUAUGAUUGGCCCUAUGUACUUGUGAAUUAAUUUAUCAUGGUGGUUUUCACGCAGAUUUGCAAGGGUUAACAUAGGUAAAGUUCUUUCUAGCAGAAUAAAAUGAAAAGCAGGCUUUUUCCUUGUUCUACAUUGUUGUGAGGUUCCUCACUUGACUAUGCUAGGUCUGACAGAAGAUGUUCUUCUACUGUAUAUUCAAGAAGAAUUGUCCUUAUCUGUGACCAGGUGAAACUAGUAUUUAUGAGCCAUAUUUGACCAGAUGUAGCUUAGCUGUACUGGGUAGUAAUGUCUCUGCCCAGGAAGAGACAAAACUGUUUCAGUCAACUAUCAUAAUGCUCAGAGCUUCAUAUUGUGACAUAAAUGCUUUUUUGAAUUUCUGUACAAUUACCUCCGUAUAUUACUUCUCAUAUGUACACUUUCUUAAGGGUAUGUCUCAUUUGUGGAUUAUUUUGUCUUUUCCCCCUCCACCUAAGAUAUAAUUGACCCAGCUAUCCUGCGUCCUGGUAGACUGGAUAAAACACUCUAUGUGGGUUUGCCACCUCCUGAAGAUCGACUUGCUAUUUUAAAGACAAUCACCAAGGAGGGUACCCGGCCUCCACUAGAUACGGAUGUAAACCUUGAA